rnacentral:rRNA from 1 species
AUUGAACGCUGGCGGCAGGCAUAACACAUGCAAGUCGAACGAGUGGAGGACGGGUGAGUAAUGACUGGGAAUCUGGCUGAUGGAGGGGGAUAACGACUGGAAAAGGUCGCUAAUACCGCAUACGAUAGGAUGAACCCAAGUGGGAGUAGGUAGUGGGUGGGGUAAAGGCCUACCAAGGCGACGAUCCCUAGCUGGUCUGCAAGGAUGAACAGCCACACCGGGACUGAGACACGGCCCGGACUCCUACGGGAGGCAGCAGUGGGGAAUAUUGCGCAAUGGGCGCAACCCUGACGCAGCCAUGCCGCGUGAAUGAAGAAGGCCUUCGGUUUGUAAAGUACUUUCGGCGAGGAGGCGUUACUCGCAGAAGAAGCACCGGCUAACUCCGUGCCAGCAGCCGCGGUAAUUC